GAGUUUGAUCCUGGCUCAGAAUGAACGUUGGCGGCGUGGAUUAGGCAUGCAAGUCGUACGGGCCGCAAGGCCAGUGGCGCAAGGGUGAGUAAGGCGACGGUAACCAACCCCAUGACUGGGUAUAGCCGCGGGAAACUGCGGGUAAUCCCCAGCGACGUCCCGGGGGGGCAUCCCCUGGGGACCAAAGCUCCGGCGUCGUGGGACGGGCCGUCGUGGUAUUAGGUUGUUGGCGGGGUAAGGGCCCACCAAGCCUGCGAUGCCUACCGGGCGUGCGAGCGCGACCCGGCACACUGGGACUGAGACACUGCCCAGACUCCUACGGGAGGCUGCAGUCGAGAAUCUUCGGCAAUGGGCGCAAGCCUGACCGAGCGACGCCGCGUGGAGGAUGAAGGCCUUCGGGUUGUAAACUCCUGUCGAGGGGGAAGAAGGUCGGGUAACCGGCUUGACUUAUCCCUGGAGGAAGCACGGGCUAAGUUCGUGCCAGCAGCCGCGGUAAGACGAACCGUGCGAACGUUAUUCGGAAUCACUGGGCUUAAAGCGCGUGUAGGCGGGACGGCACGUCGGUCGCUGAAAUCCCCCGGCUCAACCGGGGAACGGGCGCCGAUACGACCGCCCUGGAGGGACGUAGGGGGACCUGGAACUUCCGGUGGAGCGGUGAAAUGCGUUGAGAUCGGAAGGAACGCCCGUGGCGGAAGCGAGGUCCUGGACGUUUUCUGACGCUGAGACGCGAAAGCUAGGGGAAC
rnacentral:rRNA from 1 species